rnacentral:tRNA from 2 species
GGUUGAUUAGUGUAGUUGGUUAUCACAUCGGAUUUUGAGAAGACUUGAAUUCCGGGGACCCGGGUUCGAAUCCCAGAUCGACCU